GAUGCACAGUGCAGUAUAAAACCCGCCUUUUCCUGCGUCACAUCCUCUUUCCGUGCUCUUCUCGCUUUGAGAAUUCUCUCCCCACGAUGAGAGCUAAGUGGAGGAAGAAGCGUAUGCGCAGGCUGAAGCGUAAAAGGAGAAAGAUGAGGCAGAGGUCCAAGUAAGCCCUCUCUCCUUCCCCAGCUGUGAGUCCCGUCUGUCCCAGAGGCUGUGUCAGGACCCAGUGGAGACCUGAGGAGCGGCUGUUCUAUAAGCAAACCCUGUGUUCCUGCUACAACUGGAUGCUUUGGCGGAUAAAGACUUUAACAUCAGACUACAGCUGGACUCUUGUCAUGGACCAUAAAAUUAUUGCUCUGUCAACGUGUGUUUUGAACAAUAAAUGGAACAUGUUCUUAAAUUCACAA